rnacentral:rRNA from 1 species
GACGAACGCUGGCGGCGUGCCUAAUACAUGCAAGUCGAGCGAAUUUACGAGAGCUUGCUCUCGUAAAUUAGCGGCGGACGGGUGAGUAACACGUGGGCAACCUGCCUAUAAGACUGGGAUAACUUCGGGAAACCGGAGCUAAUACCGGAUAAUUCACAUCUACUCAUGUAGAUGUGCUGAAAGACGGUUUCGGCUGUCACUUAUAGAUGGGCCCGCGGCGCAUUGGCUAGUUGGUGAGGUAACGGCGCACCAAGGCCACGAUGCGUACCCGACCUGAGAGGGUGAUCGGCCACACGGGGACUGAGACACGGCCCAGUCUCCUACGGGAGGCAGCAGUAGGGAGACGUCCGCAAUGGACGAAAGUCUGACGGAGCAACGCCGCGUGAGUGAUGAAGGUUUUCGGAUCGUAAAACUCUGUUGUUAGGGAAGAACAAGUACCAGAGUAACUGCUGGUACCUUGACGGUACCUAACCAGAAAGCCACGGCUAACUACGUGCCAGCCGCCGCAGUAA